rnacentral:rRNA from 2 species
UUCGCAAUGCCCGAAAGGGUGACGAAGCGACGCCGCGUGUGGGAAGAAGGCCUUCGGGUUGUAAACCACUGUCGGGAGUUAAGAAAUACAAGGAUAUGAAUAGUGUCUUUGUUUGACUAAGGCUCCGGAGGAAGCCACGGCUAACUCUGUGCCAGCAGCCGCGGUAAUACAGAGGCGGCAAGCGUUGUUCGGAAUUAUUGGGCGUAAAGAGCACGUAGGCGGCUAUGUAAGUCGGUUGUGAAAGCCUUCCGCUCAACGGAAGAACAGCAUCCGAUACUACAUGGCUUGAGUGCGGGAGGGGAGAGUGGAACUUCUGGUGGAGCGGUGAAAUGCGUAGAUAUCAGAAGGAACGCCGGCGGCGAAAGCGGCUCUCUGGCCCAUAACUGACGCUGAGUGUGCGAAAGCUAGGGGAGCAAACGGGAUUAGAUACCCCGGUAGUCCUAGCCGUAAACGAUGGGCACUAAGUAGAGGGGUUUU